rnacentral:tRNA from 1 species
GGAGAGACUAUGGCUCAGUAGUAGAGCGUCUGCUCAGAGUGCAGAAAGUCCUAGGUUCGAUCCCUGGCAUCUCCA